rnacentral:snoRNA from 10 species
AUACAAUGAUGAUAUUGUAACUUGCCAGUUCUGCUUCUGAUUUGAAGUGAUGAUAAACAUUACAACCAUUCUGAGAA